GACAGAGGAGGCGAGCGUUAUCCGGAGUCAUUGGGCGUAAAGGGUACGUAGGCGGCUAGUCAAGUCUGAGGUUAAAGACCACAGCUUAACUGUGGGAAGGCCUUGGAAACUGACUGGCUAGAGUGGGGCAGGGGUUGCGGGAAUUCCCGGUGUAGCGGUGAAAUGCGUAGAUAUCGGGAAGAACACCUGAGGCGAAAGCGCGCAACUGGGCCCUCACUGACGCUGAGGUACGAAAGCUAGGGGAGCGAGUGGG
rnacentral:rRNA from 1 species